rnacentral:rRNA from 1 species
UACGUAGGGUGCAAGCGUUGUCCGGAAUUACUGGGCGUAAAGGGCUCGUAGGCGGCCCUCUCAGUCGGAUGUGAAAUCCCCAGGCUUAACCUGGGAAUGGCAUCCGAUACUGGAGGGCUUGAAUUCGGGAGAGGGAUGCAGAAUUCCAGGUGUAGCGGUGAAAUGCGUAGAUAUCUGGAGGAAUACCGGUGGCGAAGGCGGCAUCCUGGACCGAGAUUGACGCUGAGGAGCGAAAGCGUGGGUAGCAAACAGG